AAUAUACUCCCUCCGUCCCAAAUUUUUUGUCUUAGAUUUGUUUAGAUAUGAAUGUAUCUAGUCAAGUUUUAGUAUUUAGAUACAUCUAUUUCUAGACAAAGCUAAGACAAGAAUUUUGGGAAGGAGGGAAUAUGAC
rnacentral:pre_miRNA from 1 species